rnacentral:SRP_RNA from 1 species
GCUGAGCACAGUGACAUGUGCCUGUAGUCCCAGCUACUUGGGAGGCUGAGGUGGGAGGAUCGCUUGAGCCCAGGAGUUCUAUGUCAAUUGGGUGACCACACUAAGUUUGGCAUCAAUAUGGUGACCUCCCAGGAGCAGGGAACCACCAGGUUGCCUAAGGAGGAGUGAACCUGCCCAGAUCGGAAACGGAGCAGGUCAAAACUCCCAUGCUGAUCAGUAGUGGGAUCAUGCCUGUGAAAGCUGCUGCACUCCAGCCUGGGCAACAUAGCAAGAUCCCAUCUCU